UCGACGGGGAUACAAUAUCCUAGUGGCGAACGGGUGAGUAACGCGUGAGCAACCUGCCUUGUACAACGGGAUACCCGAGGGAAACUUCGGUUAAUACGGUAUAAGACCACACUACCGCAUGGUAGAGGGGUAAAAGGAGAAAUCCGGUAUAAGAUGGGCUCGCGUCGCAUUAGCUAGUUGGUAAGGUAACGGCUUACCAAGGCGACGAUGCGUAGCCGACCUGAGAGGGUGAUCGGCCACAUUGGGACUGAGAUACGGCCCAGACUCCUACGGGAGGCAGCAGUGGGGAAUAUUGGGCAAUGGAGGAAACUCUGACCCAGCAAUGCCGCGUGAAUGAAGAAGGUCUUCGGAUUGUAAAGUUCUUUAGUUAGGGAAGAAUAUAAUGACGGUACCUAA
rnacentral:rRNA from 1 species